GAUCAUGGCUCAGGAUGAACGCUAGCGGCAGGCCUAANCAUGCAAGUCGAGGGGUAGUUACUUUCGGGGUAAUGGAGACCGGCGCACGGGUGCGUAACGCGUAUGCAAUCUACCUUUUACAGGGGAAUAGCCCAGAGAAAUUUGGAUUAAUGCCCCAUAGUAUAUAUGAAUCGCAUGGUUUAUAUAUUAAAGUUCCAACGGUAAAAGAUGAGCAUGCGUCCCAUUAGUUAGUUGGUAAGGUAACGGCUUACCAAGACGAUGAUGGGUAGGGGUCCUGAGAGGGAGAUCCCCCACACUGGUACUGAGACACGGACCAGACUCCUACGGGAGGCAGCAGUGAGGAAUAUUGGACAAUGGGCGCAAGCCUGAUCCAGCCAUGCCGCGUGCAGGAAGAAGCAUCUAUGGUGUGUAAACUGCUUUUGUACAGGAAGAAACACUCCCUCGUGAGGGAGCUUGACGGUACUGUAAGAAUAAGGAUCGGCUAACUCCGUG
rnacentral:rRNA from 1 species